GACGAACGCUGGCGGCGUGCUUAACACAUGCAAGUCGAACGAUGACGACCGAGCUUGCUCGGUCUGAUUAGUGGCGAACGGGUGAGUAACACGUGAGCAACCUGCCCUUCACUCUGGGAUAACCUCGGGAAAUCGGGGCUAAUACCGGAUAUGAGCUCCUGUCGCAUGGCGGGUGUUGGAAAGUUUUUCGGUGAAGGAUGGGCUCGCGGCCUAUCAGUUUGUUGGUGAGGUAGUGGCUCACCAAGGCGAUGACAGGUAGCCGGCCUGAGAGGGCGACCGGCCACACUGGGACUGAGACACGGCCCAGACUCCUACGGGAGGCAGCAGUGGGGAAUAUUGCACAAUGGGCGAAAGCCUGAUGCAGCGACGCCGCGUGAGGGAUGACGGCCUUCGGGUUGUAAACCUCUUUCAGCAGGGAAGAAGCGAAAGUGACGGUACCUGCAGAAGAAGCGCCGGCUAACUACGUG
rnacentral:rRNA from 1 species